CACUCCAGUAACAGCAAAGCACUCGGAGGCACUCGGAGCUACUAACGCGUGAGUGAUGCUGGAGCCGAGCAUGCAAAUCCAGCCGUGACCUUUCCCGCAGCCGCUCCAAGGAAACGCCAGGGCACCGYGACGCUGGAUCCCUGCCAGCUCCCAAGCAUUUCCAGGAAAAACGGAGGAGCUCUCUGGUGGCAAUCGUUUGGGAAGGCUCCUGGGGAAGAGCCUGGGAGAUUUGGAAGGCAAAUGGGGUGCUGGCACGCGGGCAGUGCAUGGAAAGUGAUCCUGAUGCUUAUCACCUCCUACAGCUCCUCUCAUUCCUAGGCACCGGAUGGAAAAAAUACCCACGGCAAAAACAGUUGCAUCUACAAGCAAAAAGGGCUCCCAAUAUCUAUGGGGUACCUCCAAGGCUCAGUGUUGGACCUUGGGAAUAAACGACACUGGGUGACUCCGUGCUCUUGGGCGUCAUUGCAGGUGUUGGGAGCACGGUGGGCACAAUGAAUUAGACCCGAGCUAAACCGUUUCAGUAUCGUGGCUCGUGAAACCUUCCUCGAAAAAUUAAUUCAAGCCGGUGGGGAUGUGAACACAGUCGCGUGGAUGGAGAAUUGGCUGGAAGACCGUAAACAGGGAAGGAUAAUAAAUGGCAGCGCAGCAAAUGGCAAGGCAAGCGGCAGCGUCUGCUCUUCUCCUACCUUCCUGUGAAUGAUGGGGAAGAAGAAGCAGACGUCGUGUUGCUGCUUCUUGCCCARUAUGCGCAGCGUGUCUCACGUCUGCCUGGCAGCCCAUCAUUGCAGAGGGGCUCUCACCAUGCCCCUGGUCCUCCUGGACCCUCUCUGGCCUCAACUAAAGGAGAYUGGAGACCCAUGUGAAUGGUUCAGGGCCUGGAGGGUUUCUCUAAGGAGAGGUGGAUCCAGGAGGCAGUUUUGGGACAUAAAUCCAGGUCACUUUAGGCUGCAGUGGUCUGGCCCUGGACCUCCCAUGGACUAAUCAAGCAGUAUUUGACCCAUCCAUCACCYUCUACCAGUCCUGAUGGGUCUGUUUCACACCCCGGUUGCUCUGGUGCUCCCGACCUUUUUAAUCUCCAGCCUGUGUGUUAUUCAUGGCCAACUUGUCACUGCUCCUCCUGGUGCCAGUGCUGCCCUUUAGCUGAUAUUGUCUGUCCCUGUCUUCAACAUCUCUACAGGCUUCGGUUGCCUCCACAUGUUGGCCUGGCUCCACCAGCCAAUAUCUUCCCGUAUUCCGGUCCCAUUGACUUCCACCCCAGCAGAUCCCUGGUCCUGGCAUGACCUCAAAGCGAGCCCAGUGUAGAUGAUCACGGACAGAGGUGCCACCGCCUCUCUGGGCCCCAGUGCUGCAUUUGGCCAUCCUUUGUCCUACCACCAAGCRCCUCUGAGACGCUGCCUGCUCUGAUGUGCCCGUAAUACAGCUGACAGCAACACUGAAAUCUCCCCUUUGCUUCCCUCUGCAUCAUGGUCCUACUUCUCUUCUUCUGCACUUUCUGAACCAAAUCUUAUUCCCCUUAUGCCAAUUUGAACAAUCAUCCCACUCUUUUUGCCUAAGGACCACAGCCUUUGAGUUGUCAGCAGAUAUCAUGAAAAUGUACCUUGUUUCCAAGACCAAGUCAUUAGUUUUUGAGCCAAAAUCCUUCACACAUUUGCAGAAGAUGCUAGGGAUCAAGAUUAACCCUUGAGGAAGCCCGUCAGUGCUCUUGGCCUGGUACCACCAUUACA